AUACUUACAACCUGGUGCCGGGGCCUCGUUGAUCACUGAGAACGAGCCCCCAGGGCGAUGCGCGGGCAUUGCACUGCCCUCGUGUUGACCCCUGCCACUACCCCAAACUGGGGCAGAUGGAGCAUGCAAAUUGC
rnacentral:snRNA from 1 species